UGAGGCAUUGCCUGUAUAAUAUCCUACAAAACAAAUUUAACAAAUGUCAGAAACAAAAGUUGAAUUAAACUUAUAAACAAGAACUUUUCAUAUCAUUGUUAUAUGAAACAAAAAAUAUACAUUUGUUUCUUGAUGCUAGAGUCACAUUUCAAGCUCAUUUAUUGAGACUCAGAACAAGGCCUGCUAAAAAAUGGAACUUCUUCGCAUCAAGUAAUAUCAAACUUUAUCAAAAUAUCACAAGAAUUCUCGGAACACCAAGUAAUGUAGAAAUUAUGCUUCCAGCAGGGAAAAAGAAAUUAUAUAUGAAUCACAUAGGCCAAGCAGCAGAAAUCCAGAAGCUUUGUGUUUUCUAUCAAAAAGCAUGCAAUUAAGUGAUUCAAAUUUUUCCUAGUGGUGAAAGAAAUUCAUCUUAUUCAGAUUCUUUUUACUAAUUAAAUCAUUAAAAUAUAGAAAGUUAAGGUGGUUACCGUGUUGUUUGAAUGCAAAAUGAUUGACUAGCAACACUCUCCAAAAAGAAAAGCUAGAUAUAUUGAUGGAUACAAAGAGGGACAGACAGACAGACAAACAAACAAACUCUUAAAAAAAUGGGUCAGGCCUA
rnacentral:misc_RNA from 1 species